rnacentral:rRNA from 1 species
UGGGGGAUAUUGCACAAUGGGCGAAAGCCUGAUGCAGCGACGCCGCGUGGGGGAUGAAGGCCUUCGGGUUGUAAACUUCUUUUGCUCUGAACAAGGCAUGCCUUUGGGGUGUGUUGAGUGUAGGGGAUGAUUAGCGCCGGCUAACUACGUGCCAGCAGCCGGGGUAAUACGUAGGGCGCGAGCGUUGUCCGGAAUUAUUGGGCGUAAAGGGCUUGUAGGUGGCUGGUUGCGUCUGUCGUGAAAGCUCAUUGCUUAACUGUGGGUUUGCGGUGGGUACGGGCGUGUGUGAGUGCAGUAGGGGAGGCUGGAAUUCCUGGUGUAGCGGUGAAAUGCGCAGAUAUCAGGAGGAAUACCGGUGGCGAAGGCGGGUCUCUGGGCUGUUACUGACGCUGAGGAGCAAAAGCGUGGGGAGCGAACAGG